rnacentral:rRNA from 1 species
UGGGGAAUAUUGCACAAUGGGCGCAAGCCUGAUGCAGCCAUGCCGCGUGUGUGAAGAAGGCCUUCGGGUUGUAAAGCACUUUCAGCGAGGAGGAAGGUGGUGAGCUUAAUACGCUCAUCAAUUGACGUUACUCGCAGAAGAAGCACCGGCUAACUCCGUGCCAGCAGCCGCGGUAAUACGGAGGGUGCAAGCGUUAAUCGGAAUUACUGGGCGUAAAGCGCACGCAGGCGGUUUGUUAAGUCAGAUGUGAAAUCCCCGGGCUCAACCUGGGAACUGCAUUUGAAACUGGCAAGCUAGAGUCUCGUAGAGGGGGGUAGAAUUCCAGGUGUAGCGGUGAAAUGCGUAGAGAUCUGGAGGAAUACCGGUGGCGAAGGCGGCCCCCUGGACGAAGACUGACGCUCAGGUGCGAAAAGCGUGGGGAGCAAAACAGGAUUAGAUACCCUGGUAGUCCACGCUGUAAAACGAUGUCGAUUUUGGAGGUUGUGCCCUUGAGGCGUGGCUUCCGGAGCUAACGCGUUAAAAUCGACCGCCUGGGGAGUACGGCCGCAAGGUUAAAAACUC